rnacentral:rRNA from 1 species
CGGCGGACGGGUGAGUAACACGUGGAUAACCUACCUAUAAGACUGGGAUAACUUCGGGAAACCGGAGCUAAUACCGGAUAAUAUAUUGAACCGAAUGGUUCAACAGUGAAAGACGGUUUUGCUGUCACUUAUAGAUGGAUCCGCGCCGCAUUAGCUAGUUGGUAAGGUAACGGCUUACCAAGGCAACGAUGCGUAGCCGACCUGAGAGGGUGAUCGGCCACACUGGAACUGAGACACGGUCCAG